rnacentral:misc_RNA from 1 species
AAAGUCGUAACAAGGUUUCCGUAGGUGAACCUGCGGAAGGAUCAUUAAUGAAUUUGUCUUCGGACAUUCUCUCAUACACUUGUGAACUUACACUGUUGCUUGGUGGAGAUGCGGUCUAGAAAUGGAUGCGCGCCACCGAGAUUUUUUCACCCAUUUUUAUGUCUGAACAAAACAAAAAACAAAACAAAACUUUCAACAAUGGAUCUCUUGGCUCUG